UGGGGAAUAUUGGACAAUGGGGGCAACCCUGAUCCAGCAAUGCCGCGUGUGUGAAGAAGGCCUGCGGGUUGUAAAGCACUUUCAGUGGGGAGGAAGGCCUCAAGGUUAAUAGUCUUGAGGAUUGACGUUACCCACAGAAGAAGCACCGGCUAACUCUGUGCCAGCAGCCGCGGUAAUACAGAGGGUGCAAGCGUUAAUCGGAAUUACUGGGCGUAAAGGGUGCGUAGGUGGUUUGCCAAGUCAGAUGUGAAAGCCCUGGGCUCAACCUGGGAACUGCAUUUGAUACUAGCGGACUAGAGUAUGGUAGAGGGAAGUGGAAUUUCCGGUGUAGCGGUGAAAUGCGUAGAUAUCGGAAGGAACACCAGUGGCGAAGGCGGCUUCCUGGACCAUAACUGACACUGAGGCACGAAAGCGUGGGGAGCAA
rnacentral:rRNA from 1 species